rnacentral:lncRNA from 1 species
CAAGUCGUUUAAUUUUAAGAUAUCUUAUAUUUCAUUUAAGGACAUUUCUAUUUGCACCAUCUUUUCUCUCACCACACCUUUUUUUUUCAUAGUGUUAUUUAAUAGGUACCUCUAACCCUUCACUUUGCAUCCCUCACCCUAUCUUUCUCUCUUCUUCCACCUUUGGCACCAAGCUUUUCCCUUUUCUGGUUUCUCCCUCUCUGUUGCCCUAGUUUUGCAGCACCACCUUAUACUC